AGGCCUAACACAUGCAAGCUCGAGCGGAUGAAGGGAGCUUGCUCCUGGAUUCAGCGGCGGACGGGUGAGUAAUGCCUAGGAAUCUGCCUGGUAGUGGGGGAUAACGUCCGGAAACGGGCGCUAAUACCGCAUACGUCCUGAGGGAGAAAGUGGGGGAUCUUCGGACCUCACGCUAUCAGAUGAGCCUAGGUCGGAUUAGCUAGUUGGUGGGGUAAAGGCCUACCAAGGCGACGAUCCGUAACUGGUCUGAGAGGAUGAUCAGUCACACUGGAACUGAGACACGGUCCAGACUCCUACGGGAGGCAGCAGUGGGGAAUAUUGGACAAUGGGCGAAAGCCUGAUCCAGCCAUGCCGCGUGUGUGAAGAAGGUCUUCGGAUUGUAAAGCACUUUAAGUUGGGAGGAAGGGCAGUAAGUUAAUACCUUGCUGUUUUGACGUUACCAACAGAAUAAGCACCGGCUAACUUCGUGCCAGCAGCCGCGGUAAUACGAAGGGUGCAAGCGUUAAUCGGAAUUACUGGGCGUAAAGCGCGCGUAGGUGGUUCAUCAAGUUGGAUGUGAAAUCCCCGGGCUCAACCUGGGAACUGCAUUCAAAACUACUGAGCUNGAGUACGGAGAGGGNGGNGGAAAUUUCUGGUAGCGGNGAAUGCGUANAUAUANGAAGGACACCANUGGGAAGNGACNCCUNGCUGANCUGCCUGAGNGCGAAACGNGGGAGCAACNGGNUAAUCCCU
rnacentral:rRNA from 1 species